UGUUUGCACUUAGCGGGAAGGGUAAGAACCUUCGACUAAGGUUCGACUCGAGCGCCAGCGAGAGAACGUUGCCGCAGGCAACGGCCCGAAGGGCGAGGAGAGAUAGCGACGAGUUAUUCUUCCCCCACCACCA
rnacentral:sRNA from 1 species